rnacentral:rRNA from 1 species
UACGUAGGGUGCAAGCGUUGUCCGGAAUCACUGGGCUUAAAGCGUGCGUAGGCGGCUGAGAAAGUUGGGUGUGAAAUCCCGUGGCUCAACUGCGGGUCUGCAGCCGAUACGGGCAGGCUAGAGUUCGGUAGGGGGAGACUGGAAUUCCUGGUGUAGCGGUGAAAUGCGCAGAUAUCAGGAGGAACACCGGUGGCGAAGGCGGGGUCUCUGGAACGGUACUGACGCUGAGACGCGAAAGCGUGGGGGGAGCAAACAGG